GUCAACGCUGGCGGGAGGCCUAACCCCUGCCAGUCGGACGGCAGCACAGUAAGAGCUUGCUCUUACGGGUGGCGAGUGGCGGACGGGGGAGGAAUACAUCGGAAUCUACUUUUUCGUGGGGGAUAACGUAGGGAAACUUACGCUAAUACCGCAUACGACCUACGGGUGAAAGCAGGGGAUCUUCUGCCCUUGCGCGAUUGAAUGAGCCGAUGUCGGAUUAGCUAGUUGGCGGGGUAAAGGCCCACCAAGGCGACGAUCCGUAGCUGGUCGGAGAGGAUGAGCAGCCGCACUGGGACUGUGACCCGGUCCAGACUCCUUCGGGAGGCAGCAGUGGGGAAUCUUGGGCAAUGGGCGCAAGCCUGAGCCAGCCAUGCCGCGUGGGGGAAGAAGGCCGUCGGGUUGUAAAGCCCGUUUGUUGGGAAAGAAAAGCAGCAGGUUAAUACCCCGCUGUUCUGGCGGUUCCCGAAGAAUAAGCACCCGCUUACUUCGUGC
rnacentral:rRNA from 1 species